CGAACACAGAAGUUAAGCCUCUUAACGCCGAUGGUACUACGAUGGAAACGUCGUGGGAGAGUAGGUAGUCGCCAAAC
rnacentral:rRNA from 1 species